rnacentral:rRNA from 1 species
AUUGAACGCUGGCGGCAGGCCUAACACAUGCAAGUCGAGCGGAUGAAGGGAGCUUGCUCCUGGAUUCAGCGGCGGACGGGUGAGUAAUGCCUAGGAAUCUGCCUGGUAGUGGGGUAUAACGUCCUGAAACGGGCGCUAAUACCGCAUACGUCCUGAGGGAGAAAGUGUGGGAUCUUCGGACCUCACGCCAUCAGAUGAGCCUAGGUCGGAUUAGCUAGUUGGUGGGGUAAAGGCCUACCAAGGCGACGAUCCGUAACUGGUCUGAGAGGAUGAUCAGUCACACUGGAACUGAGACACGGUCCAGACUCCUACGGGAGGCAGCAGUGGGGAAUAUUGGACAAUGGGCGAAAGCCUGAUCCAGCCAUGCCGCGUGUGUGAAGAAGGUCUUCGGAUUGUAAAGCACUUUAAGUUGGGAGGAAGGGCAGUAAGUUAAUACCUUGCUGUUUUGACGUUACCAACAGAAUAAGCACCGGCUAACUUCGUG